rnacentral:rRNA from 1 species
CCUACGGGAGGCAGCAGUGGGGAAUAUUGCACAAUGGGGGAAACCCUGAUGCAGCGACGCCGCGUGAGUGAAGAAGUAUUUCGGUAUGUAAAGUUCUAUCAGCAGGGAAGAAUAUGAUGGUACUUGAUUAAGAAGCCGCGGCUAACUACGUGCCAGCAGCCGCGGUAAUACGUAGGGGGCAAGCGUUAUCCGGAUUUACUGGGUGGAAGGGGAGCGUAGACGGCAGCACAAGUCGAGAGUGAAAUGCCGGGGCUUAACCCCGGAACUGCUUUGGAAACUGUGCAACUAGAGUGCAGGAGAGGUAAGUGGAAUUCCUAGUGUAGCGGUGGAAUGCGUAGAUAUUAGGAGGAACACCAGAGGCGAAGGCGGCUAACUGGACUGUAACUGACGUUGAGGCUCGAAAGCGUGGGGAGCAAACAGGAUUAGAUACCCGAGUAGUC